GACACUAGCUUAUGCGCGUGACCCCGACCGCCCCCGCCUUUGGGAUUUUUUCCUCUGUUUGCCGAAAAGGAGAUUCCCUGUCGGAAUUUUAUCGCUUUUCUACGAGAAAAAUGACGUAAAAAUUGAUUUUAAACAGCGGUUGACAUGCUUCGACGUACGGCAAUUGAAUACUUUGAAUUUUAUUGUCAGGAAUUGCGCCAAGCGCCGACACUUCUUUACUAUUUCGGAUAGUGUCUGGAACGCACGAACAAAACGCCGCUAUUCGGAUAUAACGAUGGAUUAUUUUGGACCAAACCAACAUUUGUUAUUGAAGUAGACGUCCUGGGUGUGCAUUCUGACGAAGACAACAAAAGUACACCAGCAGUAUGAGAGAAGUUUGGACUGGAUCUCCAUGCGAAAAACAACACACAGUUGAGACCCCCCCCCCCCAAAUUGGCUUAUACUACCCUAUCGUCUUGGCAAUCUCACUGUGGCGUUACAGGUCAGGGAGUCAGAGGGCUAAUCCAGCAGACCCAAUCAGCUUCGUGUGGAAUCUGAAGUGCUGUAAGGAGGAACUCUCUAACUACAGAUUCAGGAACUUCUCCUUCUUUCUCUUGGAUACCUGUGUUUGCCAACACCUGAUGGGCAUGGCAGUGUAGAUCCUGGACUUCCUGACAUGCCACCUCCAAGUGGUUAAGGAAGGAAACAACACCUCCACUUCGCUGAUCCUCAACACUGAGGCCCCACAAGGAUGAGUGGCCACGCACGCCUCCAACUCGAUCAUCAAGUUUGCAGAUGACACAACAGUAGUAGGCCUGAUUACCAACAAUGACGAGUCCGCCUACAGGGAGGAGGUGAGGGCCCUGGGAGUGUGGUGCCAGGAAAAUAACCUCUCACCCAAUGUCAACAAAACAAAGCUGAUCGUGGACUUCAGGAAAUAGCAGAGGGCGACGGGACCGCAGUGGAGAAGUUCCUCGGCAAACACAUCACUGACAAAAUGAAAUGGUCCACCCACACAGAGAGUGUUUUGAAGAAGGCACAACAGCUUCUCUUCAACUUCAGGAGGCUAAAGAAAUUUGGCUUGGCACCUAAAACCCUCACAAACUUCUACAGAUGCACAAUUGAGAGCAUCCUGUCGGGCUGUAUCACCGCCUGGUACGGCAACUGCAUUGCCCACAACCACAGGGCUCUCCAGAGGGUUGUUGUGUCUUUGGCAUGAUUAAAG
rnacentral:lncRNA from 1 species